GAUGGCCAUACCACACUGAAUGCACCUGCUCUCAUCUGAUCUCAGAAGCUAAGCAGGGUGGGGUCUGGUUAGUACUUAGAUGGGAAGAAAACUGACAAGGUCUGCA
rnacentral:rRNA from 1 species